UGCAUGAUGUAUACCCUAGCUAGAAAUAAGCGUUGCAAUUUAUUAAGGACUGGCAAAGCCGCAGGAUGGAAGUCUUUCAUGUCUUGUCAAUAACCACUGGUACCUCGAGUGCACUGUAGGUGAUCUCUACCUCAUGCUUCCUGGAUGUGAACUGAGAUACCUAUCAAGGUGAUGAAGUCUGCAGACAGCUAAACCCCUUGGAAGCUCAAAAACUGAGCAGCACCGUUUUCUGCCAGGACUGACACCUGCUGUUGCCUUCAGGCCAAAAGCAACCCUUGGAGACUUAUACCCUGGCCUGGCCUCAAACUCACUAUGUAGCAGAAGAUGACCCUUGAUUUCUGAUGCUCUUGUUUCCAUCUCUUUAACACUAAGAUUACAGUCCUGGUUCUUGUGGACCUGGGGCCUGAACUGAGGGCUUUAUGCAUGGUUUGCACGCACCCUAGCAACUAAGCUACAUUCCCAGCCCACUUGUUCCUGAAACUUUAACAGUGGGAACUGG
rnacentral:lncRNA from 1 species